GCCAGCAUGGUCUAGUGGUUUGAAUGCCGGACUACGACUCUGGAGGUCAGGGUUCAAUUCCCCGCUCAGCCA